rnacentral:rRNA from 1 species
GAUGAACGCUAGCUACAGGCUUAACACAUGCAAGCCGAGGGGUAACGAGAGGGAAGCUUGCUUUCCUUGUCGACGACCGGCGCACGGGUGUGUAACGCGUAUCCAACCUGCCCCCAACUAGGGAAUAACCUUGCGAAAGUAAGACUAAUACCCUAUAAUUUCCUCAGAUGUCAUCUGACGAGGAAUAAAGAUUUAUCGGUUGUGGAUGGGGAUGCGUCUGAUUAGCUUGUUGGCGGGGUAACGGCCCACCAAGGCAACGAUCAGUAGGGGUUCUGAGAGGAAGGUCCCCCACAUUGGAACUGAGACACGGUCCAAACUCCUACGGGAGGCAGCAGUGAGGAAUAUUGGUCAAUGGGCGGAAGCCUGAACCAGCCAAGUAGCGUGCAGGAUGACGGCCCUAUGGGUUGUAAACUGCUUUUAUACAGGAAUAAAGUUAGCCACGUGUGGUUAUUUGUAGGUACUGUAUGAAUAAGGACCGGCUAAUUCCGUGCCAGCCACCGCGGUAA